AACGAACGUUAGCGGCGCGCCUAACACAUGCAAGUCGCGCGAGAAAGGGCUUCGGCCCCAGUAAAGCGGCGCACGGGUGAGUAACACGUAGGUCAUCUUCCCCUGAGUGGUGGAUAACUCUCCGAAAGGAGAGCUAAUACAGCAUAAGACCACGACCUCGCCGAGGUUGUGGCCAAAGCAGACCUCUUCAUGAAAGUUUGCGCUUAGGGAUGAGCCUGCGGCCCAUCAGCUAGUUGGUAGGGUAAUGGCCUACCAAGGCUAAGACGGGUAGCUGGUCUGAGAGGAUGAACAGCCACACUGGAACUGAGACACGGUCCAGACUCCUACGGGAGGCAGCAGUGGGGAAUCUUGCGCAAUGGGCGAAAGCCUGACGCAGCGACGCCGCGUGAGCGAUGAAGGCCUUCGGUU
rnacentral:rRNA from 1 species